rnacentral:tRNA from 1 species
GUCCAGGGAUGGGAACCGAACCCACAGUGUUCCGCUUACUGGGCAGAUGCCAUGUCCACUAGGCUACCCUGGA